AUGAACGCUGGCGGCGUGCCUAAUACAUGCAAGUCGAGCGAACAGACGAGGAGCUUGCUCCUCUGACGUUAGCGGCGGACGGGUGAGUAACACGUGGAUAACCUACCUAUAAGACUGGGAUAACUUCGGGAAACCGGAGCUACUACCGGAUAAUAUAUUGAACCGCAUGGUUCAAUAGUGAAAGACGGUUUUGCUGUCACUUAUAGAUGGAUCCGCGCCGCAUUAGCUAGUUGGUAAGGUAACGGCUUACCAAGGCAACGAUGCGUAGCCGACCUGAGAGGGUGAUCGGCCACACUGGAACUGAGACACGGUCCAGACUCCUACGGGAGGCAGCAGUAGGGAAUCUUCCGCAAUGGGCGAAAGCCUGACGGAGCAACGCCGCGUGAGUGAUGAAGGUCUUCGGAUCGUAAAACUCUGUUAUUAGGGAAGAACAAAUGUGUAAGUAACUAUGCACGUCUUGACGGUACCUAAUCAGAAAGCCACGGCUAGCUACGUG
rnacentral:rRNA from 1 species